CUGCUAGUAUGUUAUUAGAAAGGUGUGCCACUUGUUUUUCUUUCUAUUUCCUAAUGCAACUAGCCAAUCUUGUUAUCAAUAUGUGAUACCAAUUCUUUAAAGUGUUUUCUCAAAGGGGGCUUGAUUGUAAGUGUGUGGAGCAAUAUAGGUUGUUUUGAGAUUCAAUACUUCUCUUCAUUCGUUUCAGGGGUUAAAGUGUUACUCACACACUUUUUGAAAACUUUUGGUUGGUUGAGAAUCAAAGUGAGUAUAGAAUCUUCUUGGAAUUGUUACGAGACUCGAAGUGACAUUUAAACAUUUUUUUUUUUUGCUGUUUCAAGUGUUAAAGUGUUGCUUUGAAACUUUUUACGUUUGUUUUAAGAGCUUUAUAUUGAUACUGUCAUCACUGCUUUAUAUUCUAAGUGGUUUGAUCAUGCUGUGGUUGCUUAAUGUGUUGAUACUUUAAAUAGCUAGGUUGUUGGAUGGAUUUGGGAUAGGUCUAGCUUGUUGUCACUCUUGUUCAUAUUUAUAUUUCAGAAACUGCCACAUCAGAAAUAAGAGGCUUCAGGCCAAAAAGGUUCCCCAGAGACUCCGUGACAUAAAGGAUGUUUUAGAUUGAUACAAGAAAACCAUACUCACAGGCGGAGUUAGAUGAGGUGCGGGUUGAGUUGGUUGAGUUUUUGGGUUCGUACAUAUGAUUUAGGAUUUAUUUGUCAUCUCUGAAAUAGGAAACUUUAUUUUUUGUGGUUGAUUUUUUGAAAUGUUUAUAUGGAGGGGGAGAGGGAGAGGUGGGGAUUGAUUGAUAUACUUUUGGGACUUUGUUGAGGUUUAGAGUUUAGGUGAGUUGUUGAUAGGUACUGUUCAUAUGUAUUGGUUUUGUAAAUGAUAUAUGAAUAUGAUGCAAAGUUUUGGAAAUGAUAUGAAUGAAUGAUGUUUAGUUGUCA